AUUGAACGCUGGCGGCAGGCCUAACACAUGCAAGUCGAACGAGUGGCGGACGGGUGAGUAAUGUCUGGGACACUGCCUGAUGGAGGGGGAUAACUACUGGAAACGGUAGCUAAUACCGCAUACCAUCGGGUGUGCCCCGAUGGGAUUAGCUUGUGGGUGGGGUAACGGCUCACCAAGUCGACGCUCACUAGCUGGUUUGAGAGGAUGACCAGCCACACUGGAACUGAGACACGGGCCAGACUCCUACGGGAGGCAGCAGUGGGGAAUAUUGCACAAUGGGCGCAAGCCGGAUGCAGCCAUGCCGCGUGUGUGAAGAAGGCCUUCUGGUUGUAAAGCACUUUCAGCGGGGAGGCGUUACCCGCAGAAGAAGCACCGGCUAACUCCGUGCCAGCAGCCGCGGUAAUUC
rnacentral:rRNA from 1 species